AUCAUCACAUAAAUCAAGUCCCAAUUUUUGUCUAAAAUGAUGAUGGUGUGACGCAUGCCAUAUAUGAAUGUGCUUUGUCUCAUCCUUUGAAUAAGUGGCCAAACUAACAUUCAUGCUUAAACCAUCAGCCUCAACCCUGAAAUCAUGGUCAUGAAUGUGCAUUGCCUUGACUUCUAAACCUGGGGAACCAAUUUCUCCAAGCUCAAUCAGAUACUUCCCAUCUGGCUUGUAAGUGAUGGAAAGUGUCACUGUCAAAUCAUUUGAGCCACUGCCAUCAUAUUCAUUGUCCCACUCAAAUACCAUAGUACGCCUAGCAAGAUGAUGGACUCUGAAAGGAGGAUGAGAAUACCAUAUGGGGUGUAAGCGGCUGCCCCCAGGAGGACUUCCCUUCAAAACAGAGCAUUCCUUUUCACAAAGACAUGCAGCUACCAAAGUUGCACUGAAUCUGCCACUACUAUAUGCCUCCUUGGCUAACAAUGAAUUAUUAGGAUCAAUAAAGAGAUCAUCUUUAUGGUUCUCAAUAAAGUGGGUUUCCACAUUGCCAUCUUCAAAAGAUCUAUGGUUAGCAAGUUUUUGGAGAAAAUUGAUAUUAGUUGGCACUCCUGCGACCUGAA
rnacentral:misc_RNA from 1 species